UACGUAGGGGGCAAGCGUUGUCCGGAAUCAUUGGGCGUAAAGCGCGUGUAGGCGGCUCGAUAAGUCUGCUGUGAAAGUCCAGGGCUCAACCCUGGAAUGCCGGUGGAAACUGUCGAGCUAGAGUCCGGAAGAGGCGAGUGGAAUUCCUGGUGUAGCGGUGAAAUGCGCAGAUAUCAGGAGGAACACCGAUGGCGAAGGCAGCUCGCUGGGACGUGACUGACGCUGAGACGCGAAAGCGUGGGGAGCAAACAGG
rnacentral:rRNA from 1 species